GACGAACGCUGGCGGCGCGCUUAACACAUGCAAGUCGAACGGAAAGGCCUGCUUUCCCUUGUGGAUUGCGGGUACUCGAGUGGCGAACGGGUGAGUAACACGUGAGUGAUCUGCCCCCAACUUGGGUAUAAGCCUGGGAAACUGGGUCUAAUUCCCGAUAGGACUGCAGGGUGGUGCCUGUGGUGGAAAACGAUUUUCUAGUGGUUGGGGAUGAGCUCGCGGCCUAUCAGCUUGUUGGUGGGGUAAUGGCCUGCCAAGGCGGCGACGGGUAGCCGGCCUGAGAGGGUGGACGGCCACAUUGGGACUGAGAUACGGCCCAGACUCCUACGGGAGGCAGCAGUGGGGAAUAUUGCACAAUGGGCGGAAGCCUGAUGCAGCGACGCCGCGUGGGGGAUGACGGCCUUCGGGUUGUAAACUCCUUUCGACCGCGAGGAAGCCACCUGGUUGGAAGGGUGGUGACGGUAGUGGUAGAAGAAGCACCGGCUAACUACGUG
rnacentral:rRNA from 1 species